GGUCCCCCCGAACCCGAGCCCCAGACCAAGCCGUGCUGUCCAUCUGGCCAGAAGGGAGGAGCUGCCGCUGGAAGAGCCGGGGAGAGAUGGGACCUGUCACUCGGCAGCGGAGCGCGGUGCGGGCACAGCGGGAAGGAGCCCUGGAGUCUCUGAGGAGGGGGCUCCGCUCCUCCAGGACCCUCCUGCUUUGUGAGAAGUGAGGACUCUCAUCUCAAGAGAAGGUUUUAUAUUUCCUUAAAAACGAUCAGUUAUGGACAAGAGAAGACACAUUCAGGACACUUGGGAGCAGAAGACUUGUAGACUCACUGUCACAGAAAGCUAACAGUUGAGUCUGAAGGAAGCUGCUGAGUUGAAGUCCCAGUACCUUGCACAUGUGACAGUGCUCAAGGAAGAUGGUAAUACUUAACUCUUGCAGAGUUCACUGGAUCUUCAAAGUCAUAUAGAAAUGUUGCAUGAUUUCCGUGGUACAGAUUGAAAAC